rnacentral:rRNA from 1 species
AGCUCCAAGGGCGUAUAUUAAAGUUGUUGCAGUUAAAAAGCUCGUAGUUGGAUUUCUGGUACAACGAGCCUGGCCCGCUUUUAAAGAGUGCCGGUGCGCGUUUGUCAUCCUUCUAGAAAACGUAUCUACCUGGGCAACCGGGCCGGACUCGCGAUCUAGAUCUUUUACUUUGAAAAAUUAGAGUGUUUAAAGCAGGCUUUUGCUGUGAAUACAUUACGUAGCAUGGAAUAAUAAUCUAGGACUCCGGUUCUAUUUUGUUGGUUUCUAGUACUGAAGUAAUGAUUGAUAGGGAUAGUUGGGGGUGCUAGUAUUGGCCGGCCAGAGGUGAAAUUCUUGGAUUCGGUCAAGACUAACUUAUGCGAAAGCAUUCACCAAGGAUGUCUUCU